UGAAGGUUGUGUUGAUUGAGCUUGUUAUUGAAAUUUUAUUUCUCCUUCUGAUGCUUGCCCUUCCUCCCCAAAAUUGGAGUUUUUCGCUUUCUCAUCCCGAUGCCAAGUUAUUUUUUUGUUGGAAUUGUUUUUUUUUUCUUGAAAUUGAUUGAGCUUAUGAUUGCAUUGUCAAUAUAAUGGUGAAUUAGUCAAGAUUAGAUGGCAUCCCAAAAAGACACAUCCAAUGCAAAAUGGACCGAGACUUCCAUCAACUUGUUUGUGAGUUUAAUGGUAGAACAGUUGAAGAAGGGAAAUCGCAUAUCUUGUACUUUCAACAAAGUAGGGUGGAAAAAUAUAAGGACCGCAUUCAACAACAAGAUUGGAAUUCAAUAUACCCAAGUACAAUUGAGAAACAAGGCAAACAAGCUGAGAUCACAGUAUGUUAGUUUCAAGAAGCUUCUUGGGCAAUCUGGAUUCGGUUGGGAUAAUGUCAAUAAAAGAGUCACCAUCGAUAAUCCAAGCAUAUGGGAACUUUACGUCCAGGAUAACAUUGAGUGGACAAAAUUCAAGAAGGAUAGGUUUCCUUCUUAUCCUGAGUUAUGCAUUGUAUUUGGUGAUACAUAUACUACUGGAGAGCAGGCAAUAGGAAGUGGCCAAAAUUUGGCAUUGUCCGAUGAUGGUGAUAACUAUGAAGAUGAUGGUAAUGAUUUUGCAAAGGGUUUUGAUGAUCACCAGCUUGAUGAGGAAGGUUUCACACUUGCCAAUCCUAGUACUCCAGUUCAUGAUAAGCACAACUUGGAUAGGACUCCGAAUACCAAGAGAAGAAAAAAGAGCAGCUAGUAUAAUUUAACCACGACCUGUAAAGCCAUUGAAGAUAUGAUCAAGUCCUCCUCGGCCACCUCACGACCACCCAUACAAUGGAAGAGGAAUCAAGUAUUGUAUCUACUGGACAAUUAGCUCAAGUUGGAACAUGCUUAAAUGAGUUUCAUAUUACGAUAAUACGUUCAUGGAUCUAUACUCGGAUGCUGGAUAAGUACUUGUAUGUGAAAGAACCACGCAAGGACGGUAAACAAACGGGAGUCGAAUAGGUAAGCAAGAUUUUUCAUGGACACUUGGAUAGAAUACACAAGGCGUUUAGGUUGGAAAUACAUGUUUUUCUGAAUCUGUGUGAUUUAAUGAGUGAAAAGAGUUGGUUGAAAGAUAGUCGGUAUAUUAAAGUGGAUGAACAAGUGGGUAUCUUUUUAUUGAUGGUUGGU